rfam:Gorilla gorilla gorilla genomic chromosome, chr5, whole genome shotgun sequence
GCUGGGCGUGGUGGUGGGCGCCUGUAAUCCUGGCUACUCGGGAGGCUGAGGCAGGAGAAUUGCUUGAACCCAGGAGACGGAGGUUGCAGUGAGCCAACACAGUGCCACUGCACUCCAGCCUGGGCAACAGAGUGAGACCCUGUCUCAA